GAUUUAUGACCUCCAGGAUCAAGUUGAUGUCCAUGUUAGACGUGCUGUGGUACUCCGGGCUCUCCCUCCGUAUAUGCAUGAGAGUGAUGUUAGCUUUUUCAAGAUGUGGGACGUGGAGCAGACUGAAGAACUGAACACCAAUGAUGUACCACUUGGGCUCCUCCUAAGCAAUCAGACAUCAUCAGAUGCCCAUUUUUUCUGCCCAGAGAGGAUUGCAGUUCUGAUUGAGGGUAGCAUUGUUAUUGAGUCCUCCACACUGGCUGAUGCAUUCGUCAUUCUAUUUGCACUUACAUACACCCUGCACCUUAACUAUCCAAAACAAUUGCUCAACACAUUUGACUUCGUCCAAAAGGUCUUGAUGGGUCUUGAGGAUGGAAAGUUGA